rnacentral:rRNA from 1 species
UACAUAGACCUCAAGCGUUAUCCGGAAUCACUGGGCGUAAAGGGCGCGUAGGCGGCGUAACAAGUCACUUGUGAAAUCUCCGGGCUUAACUCGGAGCGGUCAAGUGAUACUGUUGUGCUAGAGUGCGGAAGGGGCUACUGGAAUUCUCGGUGUAGCGGUGAAAUGCGUAGAUAUCGAGAGGAACACCUGCGGCGAAGGCGGGUAGCUGGGCCGACACUGACGCUGAUGCGCGAAAGCCAGGGGAGCGAACGGG